rnacentral:tRNA from 1 species
ACUCAGUUGGUUAAGUCGGUAGAGCAUGCAACUCUUGAUCUCCAGGUCGUGAGUUCAAGCCCCACAUUGGGUG